rnacentral:lncRNA from 1 species
AAAGCUAAAAUGAGUUUUUUUUUUUAUGAAAUAAUUGUCAAUAUACUCCUCAAAACUUAGAAAAUAUCUUAUUUAUUUAUUUUUUUUCUUUUCAAUAGAUUUCUUAUAUGUUCUUUUGUUAUUCCAAAAUAUUUCUACAGUUACCACCCAUUAAGUUAAUUUUGGUUAAACAUAAAUUAAAUAUCUGCUAGAGUGAAAAAAAUUAAAAUACCUAUUUUGUCCUUAAUUUAAGGGCGAAUAAAAAAUAUUGGUGAUGUAAGAAGGGUAUAAUGGAAAAGACGAAAAAUUAAAAUAUUUUUCAAUAGAGAUCAGUAACAAAAUUUAACUCUAGGGAUAUUUUUAAAAUAGGUUGGAACGUAAAUAGAAUAUUUUUAAUAUUAGCCUUAUAGGAGUAAAUCAGAAAAUUAAAAACUUUUUAAGGGUAUAUAAGCAAUUGUCCUUUUUUUAAAAAAAAAUUCGCUAUGAAGUUCCUGUACAGGCUUUAUGAAGAAAAAUGCUACUCCUACAUUCUAUUUAAGGUAUAUAUUUUAUACCAUUCAGAUCCAAGCGUUUAAAAAAAAAUUUAGAAUUUUUAGUAAAAUAUUUAUUUUUUUGAUAAGAUAAAUCGAUAAAUAAAAUUUUUAUAAAUAUCUAUAUUGAGAACAAUUCAUCUAAAAAAUAAAUAAAAUUUUUAUUUUGUUCAUUAUUUAUUAUGUGAAAAAACCUAUUAUCUAUUAUCUAUACUUUUUAAUUCACUUAUUUUUUUUACUUAAAAAAUUAAAAAUACAGUUGAAUAUAUGCUAAAUCAAAACUAAUUAAUUAUCAAAAAUUAAACUAUAC